AAAUUAUAUACAAUUACAAUUUCAAAUAUCACUCUUUCCUGGAGACAGCAGACCUGCAUUAUUAAUACACUUCUUAAAUUCAUACAAAGAAAUCUCUCCAUCAGUGAUACUAUCAUUGCUGCAGCUGACUUCCAGCACAUCAGAGUAUUCACUGAAAAACAUAUCCCUACAUUGUUUAAUUUCUUCACUUAAAUUAUCCUGAUUAUGAAUCUCAGCAAAUGACCCAGCCAGUAACACAACCUUCCCUGUUUCAGUAACAAUCAUUUUGCCCUCAAUAAUCAACACUGGAAUAUUAUGAUCCCCACAAAUCCCCCCAUUUUCUAAAUCAUAUCCCAAACAAUUCCAAGUUUGAUAUCCCUUCCAAUAUUAUCUCCAUAUAACCUCCAGUAAAUCACCUCCUUCCUCACCACGGCCUUUGCCCUUUUAUUGUUAAUAAUGUAACUAAGAGACUGAUGCACCAUCACAUACAAACUCACAUUUCUCCCAAUUUGCUUCCCGUCCCGUUAUAAAUCCAAAUCCAAACUCAUAAAGACAGGAAGGCUGACUGACGUUCACAUAAACUAAUCACCCUCCGAGUUCCCAUUUGAGCGACAGGCACUGCAGCCAAUGACAGCAGGGGUCAGUGUUACGUCUGAGCUGCGAUAGGCUGGAGGAAAUCGGCCCACGACCAGCCCCUCCUCUUCCGCUCCAUCGCCAUGGCGGAGAUCAGCGAGUCGCUUCUGUCGGUGUCGCCGGCCUCGGCGCCCACAAGGACGGGUGUGAUUCCCCUUCGCGCCUCGGUGGGUCUGUUUCGGUGGCGUCUGUGGUGGCUGACGAAACAUGCUUUGACAGGGAGCGAGCGAGGACAAUGACUACAACUCCCAGAAGGCCCCACUGAUGACGUUGUGGUGUUGUUCAGGGGCACUACAGCCAAUGACAGCAGGGGUCAGUGUAAAGUCCGAGCUACGAUAGGCUGGAGGAAAUCGGCCAAUGAUCAGCCCCUCCUCUUCCGCUCCAUCGCAAUGGCGGAGAUCAGCGAGUCGCUUCUGUCGGUGUCGCCGGCUUCGGCGCCCACAAGGACGGGUGUGAUUCCCCUUCGCGCCUCGGUGGGUCUGUUUCGGGGACGUCUGUGGUGGCUGACGAAACAUGCUUUGACAGGGAGAGAGCGAGGACCAAUGACUACAACUCCCAGAAGGCCCCACUGAUGACGUUGUGGUGUUUUGGGCUUUCCCACCACAGAUGUAAGGCUCAAUGGUCUAUAAUUAUCCGGACUAUCCCUACUACCCUUUUUGAGCAAGGAGACAACAUUCGCCUCCCUCCAAUCCUCCGGUACUAUUCCCAUGGACAAUGAGGACAUAAUGAUCCUAGCCUGGGGCUCAGAAAUCUAUUUCCUCGCCUCGGAUGCUGAACUGGGAAGUGGCAGAUGGAGUUCAACACCGAUGAAGAGAUUCAUUUCUGCAGGUCAAAUUUGAACACAGAAUAUAAUAUUAAUGGUAAGACUCUUGGCAGUGUGGAAGGUCAGAGAGAUCUUGGGGUCCAUGUCCAUACGACACUCAAAGCUGCUGUGGAGGUUGGCAGUGUUGUUAGGAAGACGUCUGGUGUGAUGGCCUUCAUCAACCGUGGGAUUGAGUUCAAGAGCUGUGAGGUGAUGUUGAAGCUAUAUUCCUCCUAACCUGUACAUAAGUAAUUGUAAUAAGAUGAUGAGAGGCUUUGACCAUGUGGAUAGCCAGAGGCAUUUUCCCAGGCUUGAAGUGACUAACACGAGGGGACGUAGUUUUAAGCUGCUUGGAAGUCGGUACCGAGGGAACGUCAGGGGUAAGUUUCUUACACACAGAGUGGUGGGUGCGUGGAAUGCACUGCCGGCAGCGAUGGUGGAGGUGGAUACAACAGGAUAUUUUAAGAGACUCUUAGAUAGGUUCAUGGAGCUUAGAAACAUAGAGGGAUAUACGUUCCGGAAAUCCGAGGCAGUCUGUAGAGUAGGUUACAUGGUCGGUACAACAUUGUGGGCUGAAGAGCCUGUAAUGUGCUGUAGAUUUCUGUGUUCUGUGUCAAAGACAGGCAGAGGGAUUGUUUAAAUGGACAAGAGGACAGCAUGGAAAGGUUGGGCCGAAGGGCCUGUGUUAGUGCAUUAAGGGAGGGGUUCUGUCCCAACCAUCGACUCUAUUCCCCUGAACAGAUGCUGCCUGACUUGACAACGUUCUGUAAAAGUUGCGUUCAGUUCCGCUUAGCAUUCUGUUCAAAGGAUGUUUUAUUCUGGGAGAGUGCAGAGGAGAUUCAUCAUGAUGGAGGGGGCUUGUGUUCUUAAGUCCAUAAGGUAUAGGAACAGAAUUAGACCAUUCAGCCCAUUGAGUCAGCCAUCUUUCCAUCAUGGCUGAUCCCAGAUCGCACUCAAUUCCGGAUAUCUGACCUCCCGCCAUAUCCUCUGAUGCCCUGACCGAUCAGGAAACGAUCAACUUCCGCCUUGAAUAUACCCACACACUCGGCCUCCACCGCAGUCUGUGGCAGAGCAUUCCACAGAUCCAAUACACCUUGGCUAAUAAAAAAAAUAAACUGCUUACCUCUGUUUGAAAAUGUGGCCCUUCAACUUUGUGGCUGGGCCCCACCACAGGAAAUACCUUCUCCACAUCCACCUUAUCCAGGCCUUUCUACAUUCGGUAGGUUUCAAUGAGAUGCCCCCGCAUUUUUCUGAGUUGCAGUGAGCACAGGGUCAAAGCUGCCAAGUGCUCCUCAUAUUUUAACCCCUUCAUUCCCGAAAUCAUCUUUCUGAACCUCCUCUGGACUCUCUCCAAUGACAACACAUCCUGUCUGAGAUGUGGGGCCCAACAGUGUCAACAAUACUCCAAGUGUGGCCUGACUAGUGUCUUAUAAAUCCUCAGCAUUAUCUCGUUGCUGUUAUAUUCAUGGGGCGAGAUUGGACUGUGUUGAUCUGCAGGGGGAUCUUGGAAUCCGAGUUCAUAACUCCCAGAUAGUGGUUCCAUUGUCAGGCAGUUAUGUUGCAGUUGUAUAAAUCUCUAGUUUAACCACAUCUGGAGAAUUGCAUUCGAAGACAGGAAUAAUGCGGAGGUUUUGGAUGGUGAGUGGAAGAGUCUUAACAGGAUGCUGCCUGGAUAAAUUGAGUCCGGACAAUCUCAGGAAAUUUUCUCCGGAGUGGCAGAGGCUGAGGGAGAUCUGACAGAUGUUUACAGGAAAGUGAGAGACACAGACAGAGUGGACAGCUGGGAUUUUUUCUCUAAGGAGGAAAUGUCCAAGGCCAGUGGGCAUGAACUUCAGGAAAAAGGGGGUACACAUCCUCAUUGGACGUUUUUGCACUAUUUAAGUAUUUUGUAGUUUAGUGUAAUUUUGUAUCUUUUCUCUGCAUAGCUGCUGUUGAAAAAAAAACACAAUUGGAAAAGACAAAGAUUUCAAAUACCUGACUCAGGUUGUUUAAAGGGGACUUGCGUUUCAAGUUUUGUUUUUCAUUCCCAUAGUGGUGGGUGUCUGGAGUGAAUAUCGGGUGCUGGUGGAGGCAGAUGUGAAAGAGGCUAUUAGAUACCACGUGAAUGUGAGGAGAAUGGAGGGAUGUGUUCCUUGUGUAGUCAGAAGGGAUUGGUUUUGUAAGGCAUGAAGUGACAAUUGGUUCAGAACAACACAGUGAGCA